AGCUCAUAUUGAGGACAUCUCCUCAGCAACUCCUUGAAUCUUUUUCAUGCAGCACACAAGGUCUCUCCUUCAUGUUGAAUAAAGUUGGUGAUCUCAUUCACCAUCUAGUU